rnacentral:rRNA from 1 species
UUGCUACCUGACCUAGCGGCGGACGGGUGAGUAAUGCUUAGGAAUCUGCCUAUUAGUGGGGGACAACAUUCCGAAAGGAAUGCUAAUACCGCAUACGCCCUACGGGGGAAAGCAGGGGAUCUUCGGACCUUGCGCUAAUAGAUGAGCCUAAGUCAGAUUAGCUAGUUGGUGGGGUAAAGGCCUACCAAGGCGACGAUCUGUAGCGGGUCUGAGAGGAUGAUCCGCCACACUGGGACUGAGACACGGCCCAGACUCCUACGGGAGGCAGCAGUGGGGAAUAUUGGACAAUGGGCGAAAGCCUGAUCCAGCCAUGCCGCGUGUGUGAAGAAGGCCUUUUGGUUGUAAAGCACUUUAAGCNAGGAGGAGGCUACUUGGAUUAAUACUCUAGGAUAGUGGACGUUACUCGCAGAAUAAGCACCGGCUAACUCUGUGCCAGCAGCCGCGGUAAUACAGAGGGUGCGAGCGUUAAUCGGAUUUACUGGGCGUAAAGCGUGCGUANGCGGCUUUUUAAGUCGGAUGUGAAAUCCCUGAGCUUAACUUANGAAUUGCAUUCGAUACUGGGAAGCUAGAGUAUGGGAGAGGAUGGUAGAAUUCCAGGUGUACCGGUGAAAUGCGUANAGAUCUGG